UCCUCAGUAGCUCAGUCGGUAGAGCAGGUGACUGUUAAUCACCGGGUCGCAGGUUCGAGUCCUGCCUGAGGAGCCA
rnacentral:tRNA from 1 species